rnacentral:tRNA from 1 species
GUGCCGGUAGCUGAGAUGGUCCAGCGGCGGUCUGAAACACCGCAGACGAGGAUUCGAGCGCCUCCCGGCCCA